GUCACCGCUAUUGGAAUACGAUUAAGGCAUGCGAGUCGAGAGUCUUAGGGACUCGGCGGACGGCUCAGUAACACGUAGAUAAUCUGCCCUUAGGUGGGGGAUAAUCUCGAGAAAUUGAGAAUAAUACCCCAUAGAUCUAGGAUGCUGGAAUGCUUUUAGAUUGAAAGCCCCGGCGCCUAAGGAUGAGUCUGCGGCCUAUCAGGUUGUAGUGAGUGUAACGGACUCACUAGCCGACGACGGGUACGGGUCCUGAGAGGGAGAGCCCGGAGAUGGACUCUGAGACACGAGUCCAGGCCCCAAGGGGCGCAGCAGCUACGAAAACUUCACAAUGCGGGAAACCGCGAUGAGGGGAUUCCAAGUGCUGCAGUAUAACUGUAGCUGUUUAUUUGCCUAAAAAGCAAGUAGAGUAAGGGCUGGGUAAGACUGGUGCCAGCCGCCGCGGUAAUACCAGCAGCCCGAGUGGUGACCACUUUUAUUGGGCCUAAAGCGUCCGUAGCCGGUUUGGUAAACCCUUGGGUAAAUCGAGCAGCUCAACUGUUCGAAUUCUGAGGAGACUGCCAGACUUGGGACCGGGAGAGGUUGGAAGUACUUUUGGGGUAGGGGUGAAAUCCUGUAAUCCCAAAAGGACUACCGGUGGCGAAGGCGUCCAACUAGAACGGGUCCGACGGUAAGGGACGAAGCCCUGGGUCACGAACCGGAUUAGAUACCCGGGUAGUCCAGGGUGUAAACGCUGCAGGCUUGGUGUUGGGGGUCCUACGAGGGCGUCCAGUGCCGGAGAGAAGUUGUUAAGCCUGCCGCCUGGGGAGUACGGUCGCAAGACUGAAACUUAAAGGAAUUGGCGGGGGAGC
rnacentral:rRNA from 1 species